rnacentral:lncRNA from 1 species
UCCGUAUUUUUCACUUACUGUCUGUUCUAUAUAAACAUUUCAACCAAGUCUUUAAUUUGUCAUUUAGGCGCAAUAUGUUGACAAUAAGUGUUUCUCACAUUUUCCAAACGCGUGAAACCAUUCCAAAAAAUAAAUUCCACAUACUUCUGCCGGAAAAUUUUCCGGCCAUCUUCUUAGCCCAAUUUCUUUUAGAGAUAUGGGCACACUAUCACCACCUUUAAAUCUGGCCAUCAUCUUAAAGUUCUCAUUUUGAAGAUCUGGUUGGCCGUUACAAUUCAGGCCAUAAAGGUAGUAGCGCCCCUCCCUCCCUACCUACCUCAUCUUCUCCAUUAUCUUCCACCAUGGGAUGGCGCAAACAAAAAUUGUGACAGGAGCCCUCUCGUUUUCACUCGUCCGACAAAACUUUAAUUUUUCCGACGAAUAUUUUUUCUCAACAGUUAAAUGUGACUUGCAUCAGAUUCGAGCGAAUUUGACCAGAAAUAACAAGUUUUUGGCGACCCUUUUGCAUUGGUCUUCUCCUCGUUUUUCUUUUUAUUUUUAUCUACAGAUUAUACAUCUAAAAAUAUAUGGUGAAAUUCCACCAUCUUCUAAUUCAGUCGGAUUUUUAUUUCUGGCAACUUUGUGGUUUGGCUGGAUUUUCGUUUUUCUUGUUGGAACGAAUUCAAAUAAAACACUUUAGCCUUCAUAUCGAAUUACUUGGAAUAACAACA